GACGAACGCUGGCGGCGUGCUUAACACAUGCAAGUCGAACGAUGAAGCAAAGAAUUGAAGCUUCGGCAGAAAUUCAUUUCGGAUUAGUGGCAGACGGGUGAGUAACGCGUGAGCAACCUACCUCUUACAAAGGGAUAGCCUCGGGAAACCGGGAUUAAUACCAUAUAACAUUGCGACGAAGCAUUUCGAUGCAAUCAAAGCUACGGCGGUAAGAGAUGGGCUCGCGUCCCAUUAACCAGAUGGUGAGGUAACGGCUCACCAUAGUAACGAUGGGUAACCGGCCUGAGAGGGUGAACGGUCACACUGGAACUGAGACACGGUCCAGACUCCUACGGGAGGCAGCAGUGGGGAAUAUUGCACAAUGGAGGGAACUCAGAUGCAGCGACGCCGCGUGAGUGAUGAAGGAAUUCGUUUCGUAAAACUCUGUUCUAUGGGAAGAAAAGGACUGUACCAUAGGAGAAAGCUCCGGCUAAAUACGUG
rnacentral:rRNA from 1 species